rnacentral:lncRNA from 1 species
ACUAUAUACAGGGGGUACCGGUACAGAGUCAAUGUGGAGGCUAUAUACAGGGGGUACCGGUACAGAGUCAAUGUGGAGGCUAUAUACAGGGUAUUACGGUACAGAGUCAAUGUGGAGGCUAUAUACAGGGUAUUACGGUACAGAGUCAAUGUGGAGGCUAUAUACAGGGUAUUACGGUACAGAGUCAAUGUGGAGGCUAUAUACAGGGGGUACCGGUACAGAGUCAAUGUGGAGGCUAUAUACAGGGGGUACCGGUACAGAGUCAAUGUGGAGGCUAUAUACAGGGGGUACCGGUACAGAGUCAAUGUGGAGGCUAUAUACAGGGGGUACCGGUACAGAGUCAAUGUGGAGGCUAUAUACAGGGCAUUACGGUACAGAGUCAAUGUGGAGGCUAUAUGCAGGGGGUACCGGUACAGAGUCAAUGUGGAGGCUAUAUACAGGGGGUACCGGUACAGAGUCAAUGUGGAGGCUAUAUACAGGGGGUACCGGUACAGAGUCAAUGUGGAGGCUAUAUACAGGGGGUACCGGUACAGAGUCAAUGUGGAGGCUAUAUACAGGGGUUACCGGUACAGAGUCAAUGUGGAGGCUAUAUACAGGGUAUUACGGUACAGAGUCAAUGUGGAGGCUAUAUACAGGGGGUACCGGUACAGAGUCAAUGUGGAGGCUAUAUACAGGGGGUACCGGUACAGAGUCAAUGUGGAGGCUAUAUACAGGGGGUACCGGUACAGAGUCAAUGUGGAGGCUAUAUACAGGGGGUACCGGUACAGAGUCAAUGUGGAGGCUAUAUACAGGGUAUUACGGUACAGAGUCAAUGUGGAGGCUAUAUACAGGGGGUACCGGUACAGAGUCAAUGUGGAGGCUAUAUACAGGGUAUUACGGUACAGAGUCAGUGUGGAGGCUAUAUACAGGGUGUUACGGUACAGAGUCAAUGUGGAGGCUAUAUACAGGGGGUACCGGCACAGAGUCAAUGUGGGGGCUAUAUACAGGGGGUACCGGUACAGAGUCAAUGUGGAGGCUAUAUACAGGAG